AUACGAAGGGUGCAAGCGUUAUGCGGAUUUAUUGGGCGUAAAGCGCGCGCAGGCGGACAGUCAAGUCAGGUGUGAAAUCUCGAGGCUCAACCUCGAAACUGCGUCUGAAACUGAUUGUCUAGAGUCUCGGAGAGGGAAGGGGAAUUUCGCAUGUAGGGGUAAAAUCCGUAGAGAUGCGAAGGAACACCAGAGGCGAAGGCGCCUUCCUGGACGAGUACUGACGCUGAGGCGCGAAAGCGUGGGGAGCAAACAGGAUUAGAAACCCCAGUAGUCC
rnacentral:rRNA from 1 species